rnacentral:pre_miRNA from 1 species
CAUAUACUCCCUCCGUCCAGAACUACUUGUCCUAGAAAUGAAUGUAUCUAGAUUUAUUUUAGUUAUAGAUACAUUCAUUUUAUUCAUUUCUAGGACAAGUAUUUUCGGACGGAGGGAGUAUAUG